GCAGGGGAGGGGUUCCCAAACACUCAGAGGGGAGCACUCCAGAGGGGGGGCGGGGCCCUACUGUGACCUAAACCAGCGCCCAAGAAUCUGGCAUGGCCAGCCGUCAGACCCCAGCUCAGGAGUGCAGGGUGAGCAUUGAUGCCGUGAUUGGAGGCAGCCCAGCCCCUCAACUGCCUACCAGGAUCCUCUGUCUAUGGGAUUUUCCAGGCAAGAGCACUGAAGUGGGCCAUGUCCUGGAAGGUCCAUCUCCUGGAAGGUCCGUCUCCUGGAAGGUCCAUCUCCUGGAAGCUUCAUCUCCUGGAAGGUCCAUCUCCUGGAAGGUCCAUCUCCUGGAAGGUCCAUCUCCUGGAAGCUUCAUCUCCUGGAAGGUCCAUCUCCUGGAAGCUUCAUCUCCUGGAAGGUUCUCUCUGCCUCUCCCUAAAAGCAUGAUGAAAUACAUCACCGUGCUUGGAAAAGAAGCAAAAGGUUUUGUUGAGAACUGUUUAAGAUUAUUUCUUACCCAUGUGUGUACAGGCUGAAAAGGAAAUUUUCAGAAAUAAGGACCGUUAAAACGGAA
ensembl:lncRNA